UAUAUUUCAAUGCUUUUCCAUGGAUUGAAUCAAAUGAUUCUUCAGCCUUAUAAUGUUUUCUGUAGUACUCACCAAUAUUGAAGAACAUCUGUAAGCGAAGACUUAUCUUAUUAAAUCAUAAUUAUGAAGUGAAUACUGUUAACAAUGAAACUUUUCAAAAAUAUGUGUCAUCAGAGUUGCUGACACCUGUAAGUCAGCUUCUGAGAGUCUCGGAGCUUGCAUAGACUGAAUGAAUUUUAGAGAAAGAGACUCCCCCGCCCCCUGGAAAUCAAGAUAUAAAAAAAGAAAAUUUGAUGGGAACCACCAUUAUCAAGAAGGAGACCACAUUUCCAAAAUGGUUGUUACGGCGAGUCGACUACAUUUCCUUGCGUCACAUUUUGGAGCUUCGUGACCCCAGGAAUCAUUAUACUUACCAAUUAAAUCAUUUGUCUUUAUUACUUCAUAGCAUUACUGCUGCGCCCAACUGAUAUUUUGGUAUAGUACUUUGAAUGUGAAAUGAAAAAAAGAAGGAGACUACAAUUUCCAAGGCUCUCACUCGAACAGAGUUUGUGGAGAAAUAUUACACACCUUGAUAAGAGAUUGAAUCUCUUAAAAACAGGAAGAAAAUUAAUGAAGGAAUUCUUACUACAUAAAAGGAUAGAGAAGCGAAA